CCACGGCCAUGUCCAUGGCGUUGAAACCCGAGUCGGACUCCACGGUGGGAUCGGCGCCGCUCUCUGCGAAUGGAAAUCGCACGCCAAGUUGCGUACGUCGGGGUGUAAGGCGUCAGUUGCACACGUGCUUCAUUUGGAAUCUCUGGUGGGGGAGUGCCGUAUGGAUCCGCCGGGAUGUGUGAGAAGGUCCUACAUUCUGGAGCAGAAACUCCACCACCGCGAUCUGGCCGUGCGCCGCCGCCCACAUGAGAGGAGUGAAGCCCUCCUCGUCUUGGGCGUUGAUCACCGGCUCUUGAAAGAAGAAAGACAUCAUUUCCCCAUGGGAAGAACAGCGCCGUCGCUCCAAAGAGGACCCGCAGUUUCACCAGUAUCAACUUUGCCUGGAUCUUUUAUCUUUACUAUCAAUCUCACACUCGAAGGUCUGGCCAAUCAACUCGGGCUCGCCCGUGCCACGGAUAGCCGGACAUGAUGUUGUUCCGUUUUGUUCGAGUACAUCGUACCAAAGGCCUCUCCAGAGCGACAACUGUACCUUGCUCAAUCCUGCUGGCCAGAAAGACCAUCUCGCCUUGAGCCGCCAGCUGAUGGAUGGACAAGGCUGGCAAGACAAAAACCCCAGAAGAGGAAGAAGAUGAGGCGUGACGGCAAAGGCGAGGCUAAGCUGCGUCAAGAUGGGGGCGGCGGGCGUACAGUGCACGAGGAGCGGCGUGGACGAGACCUCGUUGCCGCGGUGCUUGUUGGUCAGGGUGGUGGACUGCUUGAUGGGCGAGAAGUGCUUGGUAGUGGACGGCGUGUAGACGUGGCGCACCUGGACGCCCGCCGACGGAGACGCCUGGAUGUUGCACUCCGCUGAAACACGAACACAACACCCGGGGAUAAGAGCGGCUUAUUACUGUAGGCCAAGUGAAUGCUAUUAUUUCUU